GCAGGGGUCCGAGCCAAGCCAAACGGUUUUCUCACGUGCAAACUCGCAAUCCAAUCCAUUCGGAGUUGAGCCUUGGAUAGGAGUGGAAAGCCUAUUUAAAAAAAGAAAAUCAGAUCAUCUCUGAGAAGCUCUUUCAAACAAAACCCAAACAGGAGCUGAGAGCCGGGAGCGUCCCUCACAUCCCUGCUGAGAGGCCCGAGGGCUGUGGAAUCUCGCACGUCACCUGGCCCUAGCAGGGCGGCCAGCUGAGGAUAUAUAUGUGCUAUUGGUAAAGUGUAAAAUAAACUCCCAAAGCACUCCCUCUGCCCUCAACAUAGAGUGAUCAUUCAAACUGUAUUGUAUCAUGUGUUCUGUUAACUGCUAAGCAGAUUCGCACUUGAGUAGCUGGAUUUUUUUUUUUUUUUUUUUUUUUGGUGUGUGUGUGGGGACCAGGUGUUAGGCCUGCCUAUUACCUCAGGGUUCUUUCAGGUGUUCCCUAAAAUGACCAUCAACUGCAUGGUGAUCACCAAUAGAAAGUAAGAACGGCUACAGAAACUCUGCUUCCCUGGACAUGGCACUUACCACUUAAUUUGCACAGCAGAUCUGAAGGUGUUAACCUCUGUACCUUAGUAAAUGAGGAACUGUGGCAAGGACAACCAGUGACUUGCUCAGAUGUUAAAUAGUUGGCUCUUCAGCAAACUUUGAGUCUGAUAAGUCCAUGUUCAUGUGCCAUCCAAUGUUUCUUACCUUUCAAGACAUCUUUCUGAUCCUAGUGUGCCCACCUAGCUUUGUGUACUAUGUUGUGACCCACUUCCAGUUCUUCUGCAUGGUGCAGUUGGCCUCUCGUUUUUUUUUUUUUUUUUAAACUAACAUCUAUGUUCAUUUUUCCAGUUACAGCAUUGGCUCUAGUCCACAAAUGCUUUGGCUUCCAGACAAAGUGUGUUUCCUGGUCAAAGUCUUCUUUCCAGGGUCCCUCAGUCAGCAUGGCUCCUUAGGGAGAUUUUUGUUGGGUCACUUAGGCCUCAGGACAGAGCUGAGGCACAGGAAAGUGAUGGAAACUUCAUGGUUCAUACAGAUCAAACAACAGUUUUCAUUCUUUACAUAAUUUCUUUUAGCACUCUUGAGUAGAAACUGGACCUCAGUGUACUUUCUACUAGAUUUUUUAUAUUUCCCACAAUGAUAGCAGAAUGUAGCUUCAAGUGUAUAGAUUUUGGAACUGCAUGAAUUAGAUUUGACUCCUCCUUUGUACUCAAGUAUUAAUUUUGUGCUAAGGAUGUAGACUUAACCUCUAUGAACCUCCUUUUAGAAAUGCAUGAAUAAUAUUUACAAUUUGGAUGAUUAUAGUAGGAAAAAUAUGAUCAUAAUUUUACACUAGAUACUCAUGUCAAUGAAUAUUAUUAAUUCCUAUGUGUGAAUUACCUGAAAAUAUCUGAAGUUAAAUUAUGUUAACCCAGAGAAUGUAGUAUUAGUUAAUUAAUGGUUAUUUGAUUUUAUUAUUUAUAAUGGCUUUAUUGUUAUUUAUUUGUUUUCAUGAUUUUAUUAGGAAUUAUUUAAUUGGCUCCUCUAUUUUACUAUGAUUACAGUUCACUGAUAAGUCAAGACAAUGGUUCAGAGGCUUUCUUAGUUUUUGAUAGAAAAAGUGGGGUGCCCAUGACUAUCAACACCAUGAUAUUAAUGGCAGCAAUGAAACUGUAAGACAACUCUGCUUGGUGGCUCAGGCUUAUAAUUCAGUACAUAGGAAGCUCAGCCAGGAGGCUCACAAGUCUGAGGCCAGUCUGUGCAAUUUAGUGAGAUUUUGUCUUAAAAAGAUAGCUGGAGAUGUAGCUCAAUGCCAAAGCACUCACCUAAUACGUACAAGGUUCUAGGUUCAAUCUUGAGUAAUAAAAAAAUAAAAGAAAUAAAAAUAAAACUUCUACUUGGAACUUGGUUAUGUAUUUUAUACUUCUAUUUUGAGUGGUAUCAAGUAUAUUUUUCAAGCUAAUUUUCCCUAUAUAUCUUUUGUUUUGUGACCACACUCUUCUAGUCAGGUUUGGGUUGUUAAGAAGUGUCAGAGUACGGUGUAAGUUGAAAAGAAGAGGGUCCUACUAUUGUCCAGUGCUUGUCAGUUUCCCUUGCCAAAAUUCGAAAGUGAGAUGGAAUUGAGGAGGAACAGAAGGCAUUGAAAAGCAGAGAGAAAGCCUGCAUUGUGUUUUCUCCAGGUGGAGUGCUAAAACAUCAGCUAUCAAAAGAAUAAAAGCAAGCAAAGGUAAAGAGAAAGAAAGGAAGGUGAGACCAUGUGUAUGGCAAAGGCUUUGCUUCACUUUCCUGCCUGCAGAUUUGGAGUAGAGUUGUAUUAGCAUGCCCUGGCAUGACUACUGUGUAUGUGACUUUUCUACCCUAUGCCCUGGAAAGGAGGGUGUCAGGGGAGGCCUGGGCUGUGGACACAGGGAGUACAUUGUUCCAUGAUUCUGCCGCAUGACAAACCAGGCUUAUUUCUUCUCUCUGGAACUAACUUUUUGACACAUGCAAAAAAA